GAUGAACGCUAGCGGCAGGCUUAACACAUGCAAGUCGAGGGGUAUUGGUUUUCGGACCAAGAGACCGGCGCACGGGUGCGUAACGCGUAUGCAAUCUACCUUUUGCAGAGGGAUAGCCCCAGAGAAAUUUUGGGAUUAAUACCUCAUAGUAUAGUACUUUGGCAUCAAGGAACUAUUAAAGUCACAACGGCAAAGAUGAGCAUGCGUCCCAUUAGCUAGUUGGUAAGGUAACGGCUUACCAAGGCUACGAUGGUAGGGGUCCUGAGAGGGAGAUCCCCCACACUGGUACUGAGACACGG
rnacentral:rRNA from 1 species